GCCUUCGUGGUGUAGUGGUCAGCACAAUCGGCACGUCACCGAGAGGUCCGGGGUUCGAUUCCUGGCGAAGGCG
rnacentral:tRNA from 1 species